rnacentral:rRNA from 1 species
CCUACGGGGGGCAGCAGUGAGGAAUAUUGGACAAUGGUCGGAAGACUGAUCCAGCCAUGCCGCGUGCAGGAUGAAGGUCUUAUGGAUUGUAAACUGCUUUUGUAAGGGAAGAAUAAGGGCUACGCGUAGUUUGAUGACGGUACCUUAUGAAUAAGCAUCGGCUAACUCCGUGCCAGCAGCCGCGGUAAUACGGAGGAUGCGAGCGUUAUCCGGAAUCAUUGGGUUUAAAGGGUCUGUAGGCGGGCUUGUAAGUCAGAGGUGAAAGCGCUCAGCUCAACUGAGCAACUGCCUUUGAAACUGUUGGUCUUGAAUGGUUGUGAAGUAGUUGGAAUGUGUAGUGUAGCGGUGAAAUGCUUAGAUAUUACACAGAACACCGAUAGCGAAGGCAUAUUACUAACAAUUAAUUGACGCUGAUGGACGAAAGCGUGGGGAGCGAACAGGAUUAGAUACCCGGGUAGUC